rnacentral:ncRNA from 2 species
CUCUUCCGUGGCGAUGGAUCUCCGCCGAGGCAGCCCCGUGGGAGUGUCUGAACCGCCCCGGACCGGGGCUGAUGGUUCCUUCCCUCGC